GUGCCAGCCGCCGCGGUAAUACGGAGGAUGCAAGCGUUAUCCGGAAUGAUUGGGCGUAAAGCGUCCGUAGGUGGUCAUGUAAGUCUGUGGUUAAAGCGUGGGGCUCAACCCCAUAAAGGCCAUGGAAACUACACGACUAGAGUCAAGUAGGGGUAGAGGGAAUUCCCAGUGUAGCGGUGAAAUGCGUAGAGAUUGGGAAGAACACCGGUGGCGAAAGCGCUCUACUGGACUUAAACUGUCACUGAGGGACGAAAGCUAGGGGAGCGAAAGGGAUUAGAUACCCCUGUAGUCCUAGCCGUAAACGAUGGAUACUAGGUGUUGCCCGUAUCGACCCGGGCAGUGCCGUAGCUAACGCGUUAAGUAUCCCGCCUGGGGAGUACGCACGCAAGUGUGAAACUCAAAGGAAUUGACGGGGGCCCGCACAAGCGGUGGAGUAUGUGGUUUAAUUCGAUGCAACGCGAAGAACCUUACCAGGGCUUGACAUGUCUGGAAUCUCUGGGAAACUAGAGAGUGCCUUCGGGAACCAGAACACAGGUGGUGCAAGGCUGUCGUCAGCUCGUGUCGUGAGAUGUUGGGUUAAGUCCCGCAACGAGCGCAACCCUCGUUUUUAGUUGCCAUCAUUAAGUUGGGCACUCUAGAAAGACUGCCGGUGACAAACCGGAGGAAGGUGGGGAUGACGUCAAGUCAGCAUGCCCCUUACGCCCUGGGCUACACACGUACUACAAUGCUAUGGACAAAGGGCAGCCAACUGGCGACAGUGCGCUAAUCCCAUAAACCAUGGCUCAGUUCAGAUUGCAGGCUGCAACUCGCCUGCAUGAAGGCGGAAUCGCUAGUAAUCGCAGGUCAGCAUACUGCGGUGAAUCCGUUCCCGGGCCUUGUACACACCGCCCGUCACACCAUGGGAGUUGGUCACGCCCGAAGUCGUUACUCUAACCCUUGUGGAAGAGGACGCCGAAGGUAGGGCCGAUGACUGGGGUGAAGUCGUAACAAGGUAACC
rnacentral:rRNA from 1 species